rnacentral:lncRNA from 1 species
UGAGGAGGCCCGUUGGCUGUUCCCGCAAAGAGUGGGGGGCGCAUUUUCUCUCCUGCCAGCCCGCUCCAUCCUGGUCGUUUAUUCCCGGCCUUCCCUCACCCCCCACCCCCACAGCCUGCUGUACGUAAAGAGGCAAAUAGAUCUACAGGGACACAAUAAUUUAGCUUGGGGAAACCAGACGACCCAGCGGCCACGGGACGAGUCGCCCCAACUCAACCCCAGCAGGACGCUGGAGGGGCCUCCCUUGCCCACCUCUCUUCGCUGGCACUGGCCUCCUGCACCCGGGUCUGCAGUCCCUCCGCCAUCUCACAAGUGUGCAGCCGCUAGGCCUGGGGGAUCCGAAUGACUGGGGCUGGAUAGGAAUGCCUUCGUGUUUCCCAAGACCCCCGGGCCUGCUCCACAAAGUUUGAAGGGUGGGUACACCCCGACCCAGGCAAGUUACUCCCCCAAACCCAUGACUGACUAAUCUGAUAUGACAAAAGCCCAUGAUGGAUUUGGUAUAUGUUAAUUCACAAUGCCCUUUCCUCCAGAAUUUAACUAUAAGUUAAUACACACCGGAAACCACGCGCAUGCACGCUCCUUAAUGGGCUUAGGUAUUAGCGAGUCCUAACGAUGCAUACAAAUGUGCUCUGCGCUCUGUAGACCCCUCAAGAUUUAUGGGCCUUGAGCUCUCUGAAGCUGUAAACAAGGAGAAAAAAAAAAGAGAAAGCGAAAGCGACUGGGGGGAAGAGACAGAGGCCUGACUCGCCCCUCCAGGUUUUGGAGAGAAGGGAUUCUUUAUGUAUUUUCCUUUCCUUGCAAGCUCGGAGCCCCUGUUUUAAGAAGGAGGCCAAAUGUGCAGGCUCAGGCCAAGCAGCAGAGAUGAAUGAGGUGAUGACCACAGCCUUGAUCCGGCAGGAGCUCAGAGAUGCCCGGGAAGACGGGGGGCCCGAAUGGAAGCAGAAAAACACUUAUGGCCGCUGGGAAGUUGGGAGAGCCAGGCUGGGACUCCGGCAGGCCCAGGGAAAGUUCCCCUUCUAGGCUCUUUAUUAAAAAAUUUAAAAGGAGGAGUUGAGGCGCCUUGAAUUUUCCUUCGCGAGUUUGGAGACCAGCCGAUUUUUCACGAAGCAAGCAAAGACCGCGGUCCCGGAUCCUGCAACAUAUACCUCAUUUUCUCCAGGCCUCUCCACUUGCCCGAGCUCUCAGCCACCAGGAGACAGACGGAAGGGGCUUCUGGGCUGUGUUGGGAGCGGGCAUUGUCCCCUACCCACUCCUGCACAGUUUCCCAAAGUCCAGCCACCUCCGACCCUCCUUGGGGGAAAAAAUACCAGUACCCAGACACCUCUGCACCCUGUUAUAUGACUGGGCUUGCUUCAGGAAUAUCUUACAAAGAAGAAGGAGGAGGAGGAGGAACGGCUUGGAGUCAUGUUUACAUCUAGUUCUACUGAUCCGUUCACAUCUGGAGAGUUUAUUUAUAACUCCCUCUAUAACUCUCUGUUUGGAGGCACUGGUGGCUCUACUGACAGACUGAUGUCUAGGAAAUAUUGCUCUAUGUCUAAUGGUACCUAAAUGUGCUGUGGUUGUAUUUACAGAUUUACGUUUGAGGGAAAUAUAAUUAUUUCCAUUGUA